rnacentral:lncRNA from 1 species
UGUUUUGGUCGUCGCCGGCGAAAUUCCGGUGAGGUUCGACGUCGUCAGCCUAAUUAACCCACUAACACCCCCCAGCCGCUGACAGUGGGCCCAGGGUGGGUCAAACCCCAGUUAGGGGCUGGUCAACUCAGGGAUUAGCCCCUGGUCACUGACCAGUGGACCCCACAGGUCAGGUUUGACCUGGCCCAGCCCCUGUUGACCAGAGAUAUCACUGUGACGCAAUAAAGGAUUUUAUAAUAUAAAAAUAAUUCCAGAAAUGUCUAAAACUUCUAAAAAUCAUAGCAAAUAAUCUGUAAGUCCAACGAAAAAAAUUUAUAUAUGAAAAAGUAUCAGAAAAAUUCAAAGAAUCUGAAUAUGUCAUUGUCAAACAUGUUUGAAAAUGUUACUGAACCCAAACAUAUAGAUUAAUGAAUAAGUUAACUCUUAUAAAUACUUUGGAGAUGAAAUUUGGAAAUUAUUUAAAUUCCACUUCAAAUGAUAUGAUCAAACAUUGUCCAAAUCACAAACCAGCAACCUAACAUGUCAUUUCCAUGCAGGUUAAAAGCAAGUUGAUCUGAGCAUCAGGUCGAAUCAAUUAAAAUGGUAUCCGAGAAUACCUCGUUUGAAGUGAUAUUUGAAUUUGAUUCAAAUCAACUUCAAACCUAAUAAAUGUUAGCCAUAAUAGUAUACCACUUUGCAUCCUCAUGCCAAGCUCAUGCAUCAUUUUGUUGCAUAUGCUUGUCACUCUUUUCGGUAGGCUCCGCUCCUCCGGAUUCCACCGAAUAUCCGACUGACGGAAAUUGUUCCUCCUCUGAGCAACAAGGCAAGCAACCAUUUUGAUCAUCCCGAUAAAUCCCAUGUUCUCGCUCCUACUCUUAC